UUUGCUUCCGGGUUUCGUCUCUGGAUGAAGCUAAGUGCAGGGGAACCAUGUGGGAGCAGCUGCUGCCCUUCACUGUAGACCUGCACGCUCGCCUGGCCCAGAGGUGAAAGAAAC
rnacentral:lncRNA from 1 species